rnacentral:tRNA from 1 species
GGAUGUGUAGGUAAGUGGUCAAAGCCAGCUGACUGUAAAUCAGCCGCAAUGUCUUCGAAGGUUCGAAUCCUUCCGCAUCCACCA